AUGUUUUCUGUAGCUCUGCUGCUGCUGCUGCUGGCUGCUGGAUGCUGUGUGAAGUGUGAACAGCUGACACAACCAACCUCUGUGACUCUUCAGCCAGGUCAGCGUCUGACCAUCAGCUGUCAGGUCUCUUAUUCUCUGGGCGAUCGGUACACAUCUUGGAUCAGACAGCCUGCUGGGAAAGGACUGGAGUGGAUUGGAAUGAGAUAUACUGGAGAAUCGUACUACAAAGAUUCACUGAAGAACAAGUUCAGCAUCGAUUUAGACACUUCCAGUAAAACAGUGACUCUGAAUGGACAGAAUGUGCAGCCUGGAGACUCUGCUGUGUAUUACUGUGCCGCAGUCCCACAGUGAUACAAAAAAGCAGCAGAGCCGUACAAAAACUCCAAAGA